rnacentral:rRNA from 1 species
AUACGUAGGUGGCGAGCGUUGUCCGGAAUUAUUGGGCGUAAAGAGCGCGUAGGCGGCUUGCCAGGUCUGAUGUGAAAUCUUGGGGCUCAACCCCAAGCGUGCAUCGGAAACCGGCCUGCUUGAGUCUGGGAGAGGAGAGUGGAAUUCCUGGUGUAGCGGUGAAAUGCGUAGAUAUCAGGAGGAACACUAGUUGCGAAGGCGGCUCUCUGGAACAGUACUGACGCUGAGGCGCGAAAGCUAGGGGAGCGAACAGGAUUAGAAACCCCGGUAGUCC